rnacentral:rRNA from 1 species
UACGUAGGGGGCAAGCGUUGUCCGGAAUCAUUGGGCGUAAAGAGCGUGUAGGCGGCUUAGUAAGUCGGGUGUGAAACCUCCAGGCUCAACCUGGAGACGCCACCCGAUACUGCUGUGGCUAGAGUCCGGUAGGGGAGCGUGGAAUUCCUGGUGUAGCGGUGAAAUGCGCAGAUAUCAGGAGGAACACCAGCGGCGAAGGCGGCGCUCUGGGCCGGUACUGACGCUGAGGAGCGAAAGCGUGGGGAGCAAACAGG